AUGUCCUCCACUGGGGCAGCUGUCUCCGGGGGACUCCUGGUGACCUUGGGGGAGGCUGGUCUGGGAGGCACCUCAGACUCUGUCCUUUCCUUGGUAGCUGCUGAAGCCAAGGCUGGGGCCGGAGCUGGAGCUGGAGCCGGAGCCGGAGCCGGGGUGGUGGCUGGGGUGGGCACGGCAGUGGACGGAAGUUCCUCAGAGGCCAGCCUGUCACUGACUGUGUCCUGGAGGGUAACAGCUGAGAAGAGGCCUGACACGUUGAAGUUGAUGUCUCCAGGGAAGAGGGUGUCUGCGCUCUGGAUCAGCGCCUCGACGACGCCCACCACCUGGAUGGAAGACACGGAGGCUGCAUCCAGCUGGGCCUGGUCCCCUUCUUUCUCAGGUGGCCACAGCAAGUUGGGUCCCAGGACUAUGGCGAUGUUGCUGGGUGUCAUCUUGUUCACCUCCUGCUCCUCGGCCAGCCGUGCCAGGAACUUCAUCAGGUACCUAAGGUUGCUGAGGUUCUCGGGGGGUAGGCGGCUGCACACCUCUUGGAGGGCCUGCAGCCGGGCCCCUGGCUCCUUCAGGCUGGCUGCCCUCAUCCAGUCAUCAUAG
rnacentral:lncRNA from 1 species